rnacentral:rRNA from 1 species
UACAGAGGGUGCAAGCGUUGUUCAGAAUUAUUGGGCGUAAAGCGCGUGUAGGCGGCCUGGCAAGUCGGGUGUGAAAGCCCUCAGCUCAACUGAGGAAGUGCGCCCGAAACUGCUAUGGUUUGAGUGCCGGAGAGGGUGGCGGAAUUCCCCAAGUAGAGGUGAAAUUCGUAGAUAUGGGGAGGAACACCGGUGGCGAAGGCGGCCACCUGGACGGUGACUGACGCUGAGACGCGAAAGCGUGGGGAGCAAACAGG